rnacentral:ncRNA from 1 species
CUGGGAACUGGAGAUGGCAUGCCUCCAGCCUUCGGCCAUUCACCCAGCGAAUCACGAAGCGAACCGCCCUCACCGGGCCGAUGAUGCCUACGCACUG